UGGGGGGGUUCCCCUGAGCCCGGGCGCGGUGCUGGAGGCCUGUCCACUCCCUUUGCUCUCUGUCCUACCUCAUUGCUGUGUGACUCCUCACCCUGAGGUCCUUGGUGGCUAUUGCAAUGUGGGCUGGGAUUUGGUGGCAGAAGAUAAAUACAGUCCUGGGAUGUCAGGAGCUCGCCAGUCGCUCGAGUAUCAGGACUCAGCUAUCUCAUGUGUGAAAUGGCUAAGAAUCUUGGCAGUAUCUUGAUACAACGGUCAGGACCUCGUGGCCCAGGACAUGCAGGGCAUAUCUGUGCAUGGAGACAAAAAUGAAGUUCCACGGGGUCCUGGCGUCCUGGCAUGAGAGUGUGUCUCCUCAGAAGACCUACCUCUGGAGGUGCCCUGUGUUGGUAAAGCUGGCAAUUAGAGGCUGGUUCCAGGCCUUGGUGGAAAAGUUACAGCUGGGCAAGCCUCCUUUUGGCUUCCUGACCCUAGACUUCAACUCAGGUGUGGAGACAGGGCCUGUGUGGAGAGCUGGCUUUCUCUCUUCCAGCCCGGCCCACCACUUGGUUGAAGGGCAGAGACAAGAAGCGACCGGUCUGAGUUAUCGCAGCAAGUUGAUGGCAGGCCUGGCUUGAGAGACAAACCUUCCCUCAAGAUGUGAGCAGCACCUGAAGGCUCCUGUGCCCUUUCUGAACUAGAAUGGUUAAGACUUCGGGGACAUGUGACCCUUUAAAUUCUGAUGGAGGCUGUGAACCUUCUAGGAGAAUUCACAUACUCAUGUAGCUCUCACAAUGCCAGGUAGUUUCAGGAGCCUCGCGACUCCAGACUGAAGACCUCAGCCCUGGGCAGUUCAUCUGCCAAACUUUUCUUACUCCAUACAGGUGUGUCUCUCCUCCUGGUCUCUUCUUGUUUGUGAAUAAAGACUUCUGAGGCUGAGCCCCUUUUAGUCCGUCCAUCCCGUCUCCCCAAUCUAGCAAUACAUCUGGUUUUCAGAAUCUAAUCUCCCUCCCCCAGCAUUGCCCAAGGCUCCUGGGCUUGGCUGCUUUCUCCCUUUCUGUGACUGACAGACUGUGGGAUUUUACAAAGGAGCCUUGUAAGGCUAAAAGGCCCAGCUUGGCCUUGGCUCUGAUUUCACUGUGGAGUCUCAAGGGGAGGCUGGACUGCUGAAGGGUUGGUGAAUCAUUUGCUCUGUGUCUGCCCCAGGGAGUAGGGAUCCUGUUUCCUUUAGCCAGGCACUAAUCAGGCCUCUUGGCUGGCCAGGUUUGCAGCCCCAGGCAGGCAUCUCCUGGGAAUGUGAGGGUAGAAAGGCACCAGAAGCCCUGGGUCUAGGCAGAGGGAGAAACCUGUGGAGGAGUUUCUUUGUGUCUCAUAAGUAAGCAGGGGUACAGGCAGGGGGUGUGGGUCUUGGGUCACUGUUGGUCAAGGACUCCUGUCUUCGCAUGUGAGCAAGUCAGCUGGGGGGCCACAGAUGUUUCUCUUCUUCCCCAGAAUGAACCACUCGUUAAGAAAGGCGGGGCUCCCUUUCCUGUACCAGGACUUGCUAGAAACCUAUGGAUUCCUAACCUGGGAUCUUACUGCCUAUAUCCCCCAUGCACAUUCUUAAUGAACCCCCAUGCCUUAUUCUGGGGUCACUGAGUGCAGGGGAGGCAGUCCACACCCCAGGAGCUUCCACGCACCUCUUUUCCUUGGCUAAUCUAGAGGAGCCCUCACCAUGCCCCUCAGCUAAUUACCCAGCUUGUCUCUUCCCUGCUGUAACUCUGUCAUGGCUUCCCCUGUACUGCUCUGAGACGGUCAUCUCCCCGACCCCCCGCCAGGACCCCUCCGUUAUUCGCCAGGGCUGAACCUCCCAGCCCACCCGGCCUUUGCUCCCUCUGUACCACACUCAUGUUAACACGUGGCGUCUCCCUUGAGUACUGUAAUGUUUAGUCUUGUGCUCACUGCUUCUGUGUCGUAUGUAUGUGUGCUGUUUGUACACAUGUGCACCUCGAACCCCCAACUAGACUGUGAGCUCCCUGAGGGCAAGGGGCUGUCAUUUCGUCUUCCAGAUCCAGGUGGGUCUGGCACAGGGCUGGGCUCCUAACUCUCAGGAAGACACUUGUCAACGGGCUGAUGGAAUAAAUGUUGGAGGCUGGGGUGGUAGGGAACAAGGGGAGAGUACACGUGUAGCUGGCAGUGCAUUGGGCUGAGUGGUGAGCUGGCUCCUUGGAUCAAUAAUGGAUGCUCGAGGGCCUCAGGGUAGAAGCAGAAGGGACACCCCGCCCCUCAACACACACCAUGGAUGCACAGGAAUGCACUUGAAUGGAUGCUCACGUUGGAUGUUCCUGAGGUCCCUGACAUCUGUUGGAGCUGACCCAAAUAAAAGUUCUCGACCACAGCUGGUAUGUGGAGCAGUCUUUGGGGUACGUAGCUGGGAAGAGGGUUGUGGCUUCUCUCUCAGCCUGUAUCUUAGCCUCCAUCACUUGUGGGAGAGUUCCUUCAAGGUGACAUGGACUUGUGUUCAAAGUGGAAUAGUAGCCAAAGACUACAGGAAGCGGAUCACCAACUACCACAGUUAGCACAGGCCUCCCAGUCCAGUCAGUGACCACUAUUGGGGUCUGGGUAACAGACACCAGCAUCUCCCUAUCACUCUCAGUCCACAGUGGAAUAACUCCUGCCAAGUGCUGGGCCACCAAGAUUUGAGUCAGGAGACAGGACUCUAGGGCGGGCCAUCGGGCCAGUCACGGCUCUAAUUGUCGUCCUAACAGAGCCCCUACUCUGACUUAAACUGCAGUGAUAAGUCAGAUAGAACGGAUGCGAAUUCAGAGCACAUCCACACCCCUGUCCUUGUUCUAAGGUGGAGCCUGUCACAGACCACAUCCUCUCUAGUGGUGGACCUCCGUCAGUCUCAUUAAUGUGUAGGGUCCGGGCCCAAGUAUGGCCGAGGAGUACUCUAGAUUCUGUCAUUGACCAAGAAGGGUCAUGAGUGGGAAGUCACUCGGGACAGUGCCUGUGAAGCCUGACUCAAGGGUGAGAGUGGGGCGGGGGUGUGGUCAGGCUCUUGUGCUCCACUCAUGUCGCCUAAACUGAAGGUGACAGUGGCUCCACCCUUCUCUCACCCAUCCCCAUACCUCCAGUGGCAGAAGCAGCAGUUGUGGCCCAGCUUCUGCUGGCCCAGGGCAGUUCUUCAUGAUGAACUUCAGACAGAGUUGUAGCCUGGCCCAGCCUGAGCUAUGGCCUGAAGAGGACCUUAUGAACGGCUGGGUCACAGCUCUUCAGAGAGUCCUACCUGUCACAGUGUGAGAACAGGGGAAGAAAACCAGAGCUGAGUGGAUGGUGGAUAAAUCUCGGGAUGCCAUGUGACCAGCUGCCUCCUGCCCCCACACCUUCCUGAUGGCCCUUCCCUCUGCUGCCAUUUCUUCCCUGCCACGAUGGAAAGACUCUUGAACUAUGAGCCAGGACAAACCCUUCCUUCUAGAACUGCCUCAUGUCAUGUAUUUGUCCACAGCAGUGGGGAUGAACACAGACACCAGGGCUUAUGGCUGUCCAUCCUGGGCGUUGCCUCACCCUGCCCCAGAGUUGGGCAAGGAGUCAGCUGUGGGAGUUUCUCCUGGGUGUGCCCUGGACUGUUGACCUGAGGGCACAGACACACAUGGCUGGUGAUAGGCUGUGUCAAAGGCCCUUGGGAAUGUGAGGAGUCCUUUCUGUCCCAACCGUAUAGCUGGGUCUCCAGGAGUAGGCAGCAGGGAUCCCAAGAUGGUGUUACCCUUCUUCUGGUCUCUGAGAUGCUUCAAGAUGCUUCAAGUCGGCACUACCCUACCACAGCAGACAUCAUCUCCACCUUCAGCAGAGGCUUGGUAUGCCGUGCCCAAGGUACACUCACGUGGUUCAGCCUCAGAAGACUUCGGGAGGCCUGGGGGACUCAUCACCAGUAAAUGCUUCACUUGAAAGUCUGGGCCAGACCUCCACUUCCACAGCAGGUCUAGCACACUGUAGGAGCCACGGGGAUACACGCUGUCUGCUGUCUGACUCUGCUUCCGUGGCCAUUUUUAUUCAGGCUGACUGAGGAGUUCGAUUGUAUGAGAAAAUCAUAACUACUAAUUUCAAGCAUAUUGAAAAUUUUUGAGACACAAUUUAACAAUUCGUUAAUUGAUUGUCCUGUAAACAUGCAAUAAAGAGAUUAAUUUUA